UUUAUUAUAUAUGCCAAAUAAAAAUGCAUGGUUUCUUUAUUUAAUAUGGUGUUCUGGUCCACUGUGUAGAGAUGUCCCAGGUUCAGUGCACUGGCUAAUGAUUCUGGAAGCAGCAUAAACUCACAUAAUGCAGGAAUAAUUUUGGGGAGGAUGAGAUGAACAAUGAAGCCACGGGCUGCACCGGAGAGAGUAGUGUUAGCAAGGUCUAUUAUUGUAUGUAAGGAGAACCAAACAUGCACUAACACGUCGAGAAUGCAUAUAGAUUUUCUAUAAAUUAAAUUAACAUAGUGUCAGGACAGUUUUAUAAAUUUUGCUCGUACAACCUCUUCCACGCAAGUGAGUGCGCUUCAUUAUAAAUCUAUAUGGCGAUUUCUUGGUGAUGACCAUGAGACCCAGCCCCUAAAAUAAUGAAAAACAGACUGGUUCAACUCUCAAUUUUAUAUAAAAGAGGCCAGGUGUAUCAUUUGAUACUGAUGAUGACUAAUUUCUUUGCAAAACCAAAAAGAGUUUAGUUUUUGGUGAUUGUAGGUGUACAAUUCCAUCCAUGACGCAUGGAUUACAAAGACAAUUGUUGUAUUUGGUACCAUAGCAUUCAGCGGGUCCCUCUUAGGAGACCUUUCAUGAUCAUUGAAAGUAAAGUUAAGAUGGAUGGUCAUUGGUCUUGGAUUAACAUCCAGUAACAAAUAUUAUAAAGGAAAAUGUCUUACUCUCCCCACCAAUCCACUUUGUCAGGUUAACCCUCCGAACAAAAUUUAGGAUCACUUUACUCCCCUGAACUAUUUCAUAUGGUCCAAUCUACUCCUAAUUAUAUUUUUAUUUUUUGUUUCUUUGCGCACAAGUUGAGUUUUAAUUUAAGAUUUUGUUAGUUGACUUAUAAUAUGAUGCACUACAUUAGAAAUUUUCCAUGAUUACUUUUCAUACAGUUUUAUUUGUAUAUCUAAGAUCAACUCCAUAUCAAAUGUUCCUACUAGCCUAUGAAAAUAACCAUGAAAAUUUCUUAUUAUAACUGUUUAAUGCAAUUCUUCAUGUUCUAUAUGUUCUCACAAAAUUUGAACUCAAAAUUCAACACAUACACGGAGAAACAAAAAAGAAAAAAACUUAUUAUAGGGUAGAUUGAGUCAAUUGAAAUAAUUCGGGAGAGUAAAUUAAGGCUAAAUUUUGCUUGAGGGUCAAGCGGAUAAAGUGAAUAGGUGAGGAGAGUGAAAUGGACUUUUCCUAGUAUAAAAAAAAUUAUAAUAAAAAGCAACAAGCGUAAAGCAAAUGUUUCCAUGUCUCCUAAACAUGGACAUAUGAAGAGAAUGAAAAUGAAAUUUAAAGUUGUUUGUAGGUGAUCACAUUCGGUGAGAAGCAAAAUACAUAUUACUCCAUUGUUGGCCUAAACAUUGGAUUGCAGAUAGACUUUGAUAAUACCAGAUGAGCAUAGUUUCAUUUUACAAACAACAAGGAAAAACAUGAAUAAGAAAAUCAGUGUUAUCUAUAAAGACGGCUACAUUUGAUCUCCCAAAUUAGGACAAGUGUUU
rnacentral:lncRNA from 1 species